CGCCAAGCGGGACGCGACGACCCCCGACCAGCUUUCGGUCGCCGUCGGUGAGAGCCGGCCGUCGGGGUGAGCGAGUGGCGAGACCGGCCCGUGGAA
ncrna:unclassified sequences c-di-GMP-II-GAG riboswitch